UACAGAGGUCCCGAGCGUUGUUCGGAUUCACUGGGCGUAAAGGGUGCGUAGGUGGCGAGGUAAGUCGGAUGUGAAAGCUCGGAGCUCAACUCCGAAAUGGCAUUGGAAACUACCUUGCUCGAGGGUUGGAGGGUGGACUGGAAUGCUUGGUGUAGCAGUGAAAUGCGUAGAUAUCAAGCGGAACACCAGUGGCGAAGGCGAGUCCCUGGACAACUCCUGACACUGAGGCACGAAAGCUAGGGGAGCAAACAGG
rnacentral:rRNA from 1 species